ACAAUUCUUUUCCAAAUUUUGUUCCCAUUUCAUAACCCAAAAAUUAAUACAUAAUAAGAUAUGCUAUCAUAUAUUAAAAUAUAAGAUAAGCAAAGUGCCAUAUUAGAAUUUGCUUGUGUCAUGUGAAUUUUCUUGCAACAAGUUGAGGACUAUGUCAACUUUCUCAAUUCUAGAAAUUUUCUGAAAGCUUAAAUUUGAUUUUUGAACUCAUAUCCUUUCAAUUUAUGUGUUUGUUUUUUCUGUAAAUCUGAUAUUAGUAUACUUAGAAAUUGCCACACUAUCUUUUUCCCUUUGUUUAUGUUUGUUAUUUUGUGUUUAUAACAUCAGAAUUCNAAGCCCUNUUCCGGCACAAANUUUCAGUAUGUUGAGAACACUAUAGUAUGCCAUGAUUAUCAGGAGAUAAAAAUUCAAGAAAGUACACAGGUGCUAGGUAUUGGGGCAAUUCCUCGUUCAAUUCUUGUCAUCUUAAAGGAUGACCUCAUUGAUGUUGUUAAAGCUGGAGGUUUGUGAUAUUGCUGUUCUUGACAUCUCAGCAACAACCAUUGAUCAAGAUGAAUCAAAUGUUAAAAAUAUUCCUUCAAGUAAAGGCUUUAAUUUUGAUACCGAGGAUGGAGACAAGGUAUUACCAGGUUUCCUUGAUUCAAUAAUUGGAAUUCAUCGAGGUGAAUCAAAGUCUUUUCCUCUUGUAUUUCCUGAA